GACGUAGGGCGCGAGCGUUGUCGGAUUUAUUGGGCGUAAAGAGCUCGUAGGCGGCUGUUGCGUCAGUGUGAAAACCCGCAGCUCAACUGUGGGCUUGCAGCUGAUAACGGGCAGGCUUGAGUUGGUAGGGGAGACUGGAAUUCCUGGUGUAGCGGUGGAAAUGCGCAGAUAUCAGGAGGAACACCGGUGGCGGAAGGCGGGUCUCUGGGCCGA
rnacentral:rRNA from 1 species